GGAAGUAAAAGUCGUAACGAGGUUUCCGUAGGUGAACCUGCGGAAGGAUCAUUAUCAUGUAAUUCAGUCCCCUUGGCUGUGUUAUAUAUAUACCCACUCUGUGUACCUUCUCCUGUUGCUUCCGCUGGGUGUGUAAUUCGCCCGGCGGAAGGGUAAAAAUAACCUCUGAGUAUUGAUGAAAUCUCUGUCUGAACCGAAUAGAAAGAAAAAUGCUAAAACUUUCAGCAACGGAUCUCUUGGUUCUC
rnacentral:misc_RNA from 1 species